ensembl:lncRNA
ACGGCCCAAAGAACCCCUCAGUGUCAGUCAGUCCCUCUGGUGGAAUAGUGGAGGGCAGUUCAGUGACUCUGACCUGCAGCAGUGAUGCCAACCCUCCUGUGGACAAAUACACCUGGUACUUUCAAAAUGAGACUUUUCUAAAUGGAUGUGGACAGAUGUACAACAUCAGUAACUUCAGGUCUGAGGACAGUGGACAUUACCACUGUGAGGCCUGGAAUAGAAGAGGAUCUAGGAACUCUACAGCUCUGAUGAUCAUUUUACCAGGGAAACAAACCUCAGUUCAGACUGCAGCUGUAGGAAUCAUAGUGGUUGUUCUGGUUCUCAUCCUCUGUUUCUCUGGACUCAUGUGGUUCAGGGAGACUCUAGUCCAGUGUAUGAAAACGUCUCAAGCAUGUCCACAGCCCCUACUGCAGCACAGACAGCAGCCACCGUCCACCAGGACGAUGUUCACUACUCCAGUGUCCACUUCUCUCGCUCCAAAAACCAGGAAGUGCCUCUGUACUCUACCGUCCAGAUGCCUCAGCCCCAGAAAGAGGAAGAGGAUGUCCAGUACGAUGCUGUGAAAUUCAACCUCCCCAGUGCUGCCAACCAACCCACGGCAGCACAAGCAGCUGAGGAGGACUCUUCUGAGAUCUAUAGUAGAGUCAACAAACCCAGAAGACCUGAACACAACAAACCCAGAACCAAAAAGACCUGAAUGCAACAAACCCAGAACCAAGAAGACCUGAACGCAACAAACCCAGAAACAAGAAGACCUGAACGCAACAAACCCAG